AGUCAUGUGGCGUAGUGGUUUGGGCAUUGGACUACCACUCUGGAAACUAAGGUUUGAAUCCCUGCUUGGCCA